CCUACGGGUGGCAGCAGUGGGGAAUAUUGCGCAAUGGGCGAAAGCCUGACGCAGCGACGCCGCGUGAGGGAUGAAGGUCUUCGGAUCGUAAACCUCUUUUGUCGGGGAGUAAAAAGGCCUCGUGAGGCCACAAGUGAGAGUACCCGAAGAAAAAGCAUCGGCUAACUCCGUGCCAGCAGCCGCGGUAAUACGGAGGAUGCGAGCGUUAUUCGGAUUUAUUGGGUUUAAAGGGUGCGUAGGCGGACUGGAAAGUCAGCGGUAAAAUCGAGAGGCUCAACCUCUUUCCGCCGUUGAAACUGUCGGUCUUGAGUGGGCGAGAAGUAUGCGGAAUGCGUGGUGUAGCGGUGAAAUGCAUAGAUAUCACGCAGAACUCCGAUUGCGAAGGCAGCAUACCGGCGCCCGACUGACGCUGAGGCACGAAAGCGUGGGUAUCGAACAGGAUUAGAUACCCCUGUAGUC
rnacentral:rRNA from 1 species